AACGAACGCUGGCGGCAGGCUUAACACAUGCAAGUCGAACGCCCCGCAAGGGGAGUGGCCGACGGGUGAGUAACGCGUGGGAAUCUACCCAUCCCUACGGAAUAACGCAUGGAAACGUGUGCUAAUACCGUAUACGCCCUACGGGGGAAAGAUUUAUCGGGGAUGGAUGAGGCCGCGUUGGAUUAGCUAGUUGGCGGGGUAAAGGCCUACCAAGGCGACGAUCCAUAGCUGGUCUGUGAGGAUGGUCAGCCACCUUUGGGCUGAGACACGGCCCGAACUCCUGCGGGAGGGGGCAGUGGGUGAUACUGGAAUGUGGGGUGUAGGCUGAACCAGCCAUGCCUGGUGAGUGAUGAAGGCCUUAGGGUUGUAAAGCUCUUUCACCGGAGAAGAUAAUGACGGUACCCGGAGAAGAAGCCCCGGCUAACUUCGUG
rnacentral:rRNA from 1 species